rnacentral:rRNA from 1 species
GAUGAACGCUGGCGGCGUGCCUAAUACAUGCAAGUCGAGCGAACAGACGAGGAGCUUGCUCCUCUGACGUUAGCGGCGGACGGGUGAGUAACACGUGGAUAACCUACCUAUAAGACUGGGAUAACUUCGUGAAACCGGAUCUAAUACCGGAUAAUAUAUUGAACCGCUUGGUUCAAUAGUGAAAGACGGUUUUGCUGUCACUUAUAGAUGGAUCCGCGCCGCAUUAGCUAGUUGGUAAGGUAACGGCUUACCAAGGCAACGAUGCGUAGCCGACCUGAGAGGGUGAUCGGCCACACUGGAACUGAGACACGGUCCAGACUCCUACGGGAGGCAGCAGUAGGGAAUCUUGCGCAAUGGGCGAAAGCCUGACGGAGCAACGCCGCGUGAGUGAUGAAGGUCUUCGGAUCGUAAAACUCUGUUAUUAGGGAAGAACAAAUGUGUAAGUAACUAUGCACGUCUUGACGGUACCUAAGCAGAAAGCCACGGCUAACUACGUG